UACGAAGGGGGCUAGCGUUGCUCGGAAUGACUGGGCGUAAAGGGCGCGUAGGCGGUUCGUAUAGUCAGGCGUGAAAUUCCCGGGCUUAACCUGGGGGCUGCGUUUGAUACGUACGGGCUUGAGUUCGGAAGAGGGUCGUGGAAUUCCCAGUGUAGAGGUGAAAUUCGUAGAUAUUCGCAAGAACACCAGUGGCGAAGGCGGCUCACUGGCCCGAUACUGACGCUGAGGCACGAAAGCGUGGGGAGCAAACAGGG
rnacentral:rRNA from 1 species